UGAUAAAGAAGGUAAAGAGUCGUUUGAAACAAAAGCGGGGGGGAGUUAACGCGUUAGGACAAUAUGUAUCGUUAACACGGCCGCUACAUUUUCCCCUGGGAUCAAGCGAUAGCAGACUUCGAUCGAAAAGUCAUCGAUCAAAGGUAUCUUAAUUCGUACAAUAGCCGGUGAUGUUGUAAAAUUUGGACGCAUGAUCGAUCGUUCCAUAGCAUGGUGGCAAGGAGCUGGUUAACUGAACGCAACGUCGUUCUAUUCUAUGAAAGUAGAAACGAAUAAAAUGAAAUUUCGAAGAUAGACGUGCAGUGACAUAUUGGAAAGGAAGGAACGUGGUUCUGCGGUUGUUCCAGUCCGCCGAAUCGGCACGUGACAGCUGUCACCUUUGAAAAUCACGGCUAAAAAAAUUGUUUAAUAUAUGAGCGCGGAUCCGCGACGAUUUACACUUGUUUUCAAUUGAGACGCCCCGAACCGCGGCGAAUUGCUGCGACGAUUGGGGUGACUUUUAAAUGGGAGUAUAAUUUUAGGGUGUGAGCAUUCCCAUUCGACUUUCUAAAUGUAUAUAUUCAUUUAAGUGCGAUGAGUUUCUGGCCACCCCCACUCUCGAGAAUAUACAACGUUCCUUUUCCGUUCGUAGCCCAACGUUUUCAACGAAUAUGGGAACUAACUGAAUCAGAAUUACACCGAAGACACUAGAAACUGGCCGCAGGACGACUUUUCGCUUUUCCCCGGAUCUGUGUUUAACACUAUGGGCUUGUAAUUCGAGUUGGACAACGGUUAAUCGGAGAGUCGAUUAAUUGGCGAAGGGCAGGCUACGAUGUGCCCAUGGCACAUAUGGCAUGGGACGAGACGUUCCAUGACUCGCCGGAUUUUCAGACAUUCGUUUGGAAACGUGAAAAAUGUUUCGCUAUCGCUCGAAUUGGUCGAAAACUGUUCAGAGAGGAAGAAGAAACGGAAAAGGGAGAAGCGAGGAAAGAAUCCGAGGUACGACACGAUACAAAAGAAGAAUUCGAUGGUGGAGAAAGAUUGCGAGGACAAACAAGGGUAGAACGUACGGUUCGUAGAAUCGUAGGGGCUGAUAUUUAUCAUUCUAUUCCGAUCGUCGUAAUACUAUCGCCGAUAAAUUCUCGCGGAUGCGUGGAGAUACUGUAACGCGAUCGCCGAUAAAUUCAUAUUUCCGAUUGAUCGGAGAAACUGCACCAACAAAUCGUAAAGCAAUCGAGCACGCGAUCAUUUAGAUACGCGGACUGGCAUAUGCGUGCGCGCACGUUGCUUCGGACUCGAGCAUUCCGAACAAUAUCAACCAAUUAUCGGACGAUUGUGUCGCGGUGCCAACUGUCAACGUCGAUGGUCAACCGGUCGAUCGGGGGAGGGUGUGACCAUCGGUCACGAUCGAUGGACGCGGUCCAUCACCCUUCGGUCCAUCGUCCGAUCGAAUUGCGAACCUUUGUUUUCGCAAGGAAGAUCGCGCCGGACAAGUGUCGAAUGCUACUAAUUUUAUGCGUGUUUGCUUUACACCGAACAUUCGUUGUUUGUGCAAGAGAUGGGCAAGCCAUCGGACGAAUCGACUGGACGCUUUCGCGCGUACUCGUCGGUCCGGCCGGAAUUAUGAAUAUAAAUAUUUGUAGGCCGAAACGAGCGAAGCUCCUCUUGUAAAAUUAUCCCUACCAGUUUCGCUCGCGGUGGAUGCAAGCGUGGAUAGAAGCGU